UUUUCUGUGGGUUUUGCAAGAGCUCUGUCACCAUGGGAAGGACUUUCUGUCUCUUUAUGCUUUUACUUGGCUUUGUGGGGGGUGUCUCUAAGAUGCUACUUACAGGAAAGCAAAGUAGUAAAAAAGUUGGCAUGGACCCACUGCCUAUGUAGAAGCCACUGUGUUCACUGGAAGCUGACAUCCGGGACUUGGCAUCCAUUACAGGGCUAACAAAAGGCCAUAAUCCAGGCUUUUCAACUGUUCAUCCACACGGCUCGACAUCAGCUGUGCAGGAGCGUAAACCUGCGAUUACCAAGCACGGGGCGGCUCUCCCACCUGUUCCAUCAUUUCUCCACCUUAUGUGCACUCACUCUGAGGACUGUAAGCAAUUACUCUGCUAGGUACUAAAUACGAUAUGCAGCACAUGGUAGUGUAAAAUUAUGGAAUUUGGGGGUUUUAAUGAGCUCAGGUGCAAUACAAAAGAACUUUUUUUUUUUUUUUUCCUGUCCAUAAAAUUAUAUGGCUUGGAAUCAGGGGUUUAUACAGCCCUGGACAAAGCCAUUUUAUUUAAAGGGUGGGUGUGGGGGGGAAUACAACAACAACAACACCCUAGCCCAGCACAAUUAUAUGCAGAUUUGUUCAUAAAUCUGGGCUGGAGCAGAUGUGCUGCACAUGUUGAAAAUCCAGAGCAUGUUGCUGGAACUUGAAACAUAAACAUGAACCUGUUUCCAAAGAGGAAAAUCUGCUCACAGCGAGGAGCUGACCCUGUGCUUUAAACAAAGAUCAAGUCCAUUCUGCCUAUUGUGCCUUUGCCAUGUGUUUACUUUCCUUGCUUGGUGCCUAGGGUAGCUUAAGGAAUAGACAGAAGAAAAGAAACAAUUUACCUGGGUCAGAAAAGAGCCAGUGUCACUUUGGACAUGAGGAAACAAGAGGUAGGAUGUGACCCAACCCAUCUUGCUAGCAAGGGUCCUAUUAGGCUGGGUCAGGAGUAUCAUGCCAGAUCUCUCAUCUGUAUUUUUAGAUGCUUGAAGUCUUUUGCCCUGUAGCUAAAUCCCGUAGAAAAACAUAACAGCACUUCACAGUGGGUAAGGCUGUAAGAAACAGUCUGCUUUAAAAAUGAACCUGCACUCUGUAGGUAGUUGGAAGUGAAGUUCCUGUAGCUGGCUGCGUGAUUAAAUUCCUUUGGAGGGUAGCAGGGCAUGCUCUUGAAGACUCUGCACCCUGACUGAGUGCCACCAUACUCGCUCUGUUUAAUGGUGGUGAGCUGAAAUGCUGACAGCCCCUCCUACCCGAGGCUGGGAGCUGCCAGCUUUUGGCACAGUCUCUUGUAAGCCUGUCUGAUACCUGUGGUAGGAUGCAAGGUAUUUUUCUCUUUUCUUGACUUUUUAUUUUGUCAAGAAUAAGUUUGGGUUGCUUGAAAGGGACUGAGAAUGCAAAGUGCUUUCCUACUGACCAGUGAAAAAGAUUAGCCCUCCAGGUAAGGGGCAGAGGUGACUUUCUGGUUAAUAUGAGGCUCCUCACAUCCCAUCUGCACCACAUGGGUGAAGAAAGGAGUUCAUUUACCAGACACGCUGAUGCCAUGACCUACACAAACACUGAAGUCCCAGCUCUCUUUCUUCUGGAAGAAAAGAGGUGAUGGAUGUGGUCAUCUGUGUGUGUGUGUUCUCGUAACUCUCCCUGGGAGGAGCUGGAUUAGGGCAUGCCACUGAAAGCCGUGCUCACACACCUCUCCUCCUACCCACAGGCUGGGCUGCUGGUGGCGUUAAAGACUUUGGUCCCUAGGACCAAAAGACAAUAAACAUUGGAGCCUACUUGGAAACUAUUGCAGUCAGCUGCAAUACCCUGCCUACAGGAGGGAGGUAUUUUUCUGGAUGUCUCAGAGCUUGAGAAACCUGCACCUCUCUGGCCAACUGCUCAUGUUUUAUUUUUCUUUAAAUCAAAGAGCCAUGAAAGGGAAUGGCUGUUAAAAAUCAUCAGAUAGAUGUAGUUGUAGGCUGGAUCAGAAAGGAAAUGAGCAAUUUAUGCUGAGCACAGUCACAAAUAAAACAAAUCUCUGGUUAGCUGACUAUAAAAGAGCCGUGUAUCUGGAUCAGCCCCUUGCUUGCUGCCACUUGCUUGCCCAAUGUCUGCUUCCACCCAUGCAGAGAGGGAUGGGGCUGCCCCGCUAGUGUGUUACGAGCAUUGAACCUGGCGAGGGCAGCGAGGUGCCUACAUGGAGCAGGACUGAACAGGUAUCGUGAUGACUAAUCGAAAAUGGGUAUCUAUUUGAGAAAUACCCACGUGUGAGAAGUCCAUUAGCUAAUGAGGUUUCCGAGGUGUUUUACACUCUCGUAGCCCAAAGGCUCUGGCACAGGCAGUAGAGAGCCCUGGCACCACACCACUGGCAAAGCUAAAAGGGCUGUCAGUGCUGACAUGUUCACCUUACACUGGAAAGUUUUAAAUGUUCCCAGUGGCCCAACUAUUUGUCCUUCCACCUGCCUACCGUUCAAUCCAUUGCCCGCAAAUAUGGUAAAAGGAAGAAAAGAUGCAUUAUUAUUAAUAAAUGAAUGGAGCUAUUUUGCUAUUUAUUAUUUAAGUCCUCAAUACCGGCAGGCUUUAGUGAUACAUGAAAUACAGGCAAGUAAUUUAUUUAUUAGGGAAAAUAAUGAUUUUUUCUCCCUGUUCUGGAGCCCUCUCUGACCCAAAACAGCAGGGGGUUUAUCAAAUACAAAUACGAUGACUUGUAAUUUUAGAGUCUUUCAGAGCACUGUAACUGACAACCUUUUUAACAUAAGUACAUUGAGCAAAUAAUUUAUAGAAGUAUUCUGGGAAUAUUUUAGGGUGUUUUAUUACUACUUCUGAAAGCUAUGGCAUGUUAUUGAUUUUGGUGUAUUAAUAUAACCUAAAAGUGAGGGCACAUGCUUGCCUCCUAAUCCAAAUCAGCUUUGAUGGCAACCCAUAUAUUUUACUGAAAGGAGCCUUGAACUAACGGCAGAGGUUAACAAUUACACAUCAUAGCCAAAAGUUUAAGAUAAUGAAUUUUGCUCAUUACACACUGUCCAGCUCCAGCCACGGGAAGUUCCCCACUGCUCCCUCCUCCAUGUUUCAUCCAAACCUCUCCAGUCGCUAUUUGUCACCGUUGUGAAGCCUUAUUCUCGCAUUCGUGUCAUGCAAUUUACAUUGUAUUCAUGAAGGCUUCCACUGAGGAAGUGUAAUCAUCAUUACUGUUUUCUGUACGCCAUAAAAAUAGUGUAUUUCUCUUAAAACUGGAUUGCUUGCUUGCUUUGUAUUUUUUUCAUGUAUAUAUAUGUGUGCGUGUGUGUGUGUACACAGGCAUAGGUAUAGGUAACGACUGCAGUUAUAUAUACCUGAGCAGAUGUUGGCAUUUCUCUGUUUCCUUCUUUGCUGUGCUGAGACUCUCCAAACUGAAGCACCGAACCUGUGCUCUUCUUUUCUCUCUUCCCAAGUUUUUUUCUGUUAAUCUCUGUUAACAAUUAGUUUCACCUCUGUUAAUUCAGUUCUGGAGGACUUUCUAUUUUCCACUUAGUUUUUUGUUUUAAAAAGGAACAGUGGACUAUUUUUAAAUGCCCUGACAUGGGAAUGCCAUCAUAGGAAUGCCUUUGAACUGUGGUUCUUCUUUAGCUGUGCUUUCUUAAGAGCAUCCAAACUGAUCUAAUUGCCUUUGUCUUCCUCCCCUUUCAACAGACAAUGGUUUCUUUUUUCUUGUGUUUCUUUUCUUGGUUAAUUUACUGAUGCCAUCACUGUUGGUGUGGGCAUAGGAAUUCUUAGUUCUGCCCAGCCUUUUGAACAGGCAGAAGACGCUUUUGAACAGCUCUGCAGCCCUAGGGGCUCUUACUGGUGCACAGACAGGCAGUUUCAAUGGCAGAGUGAGGGAAACAGGCAAGGAGUGGCCAUGGAGAAAAAAUCCUUCCAGAUUUGUACCCUGCUUUGGACUUUUUUUGGACUCCAGGGCUGGGCAGCUGGGAGUUGUGUCGCGCCCAGGAAGGAUCUUGCUUCUCUUUACACCGUGACUUGUGUAUAAAAAGCCUGUGCAUGGGGAGUGGGGUGAGGUGAACUGAGGAGUAUGCAUUAAAAUAGCAUAAAUUAUGGAGGUUUUAUUUUUAUUUGGGGAAGGAAUCCAAUCAAAAUAACUCUGGAGGGGGGAAAAAGCAUACUGAAGUUGAGGAGCAGGGACGAGGCCAUCUGGCUGAACAUGCCGCCCGUUAAAAUGUACCUUAAUCCCCGCUUCCUGCUUUUUUUGCCAUAUGCUUUUCUGUGCGAAAAGUCAGAUACAGAGCGGUGCCCUUAAAAGAGAAGUUUCAUUCCUGGUCACCUAAAAAGGUGACUCUUAAUUGAAUCCAAAAGGGGCAUUUUAUAUCAGAGUAGAUUUACUCACAUCUUUAUUUUCCAAUAAAGUCUGCUUGCCCCUCCUGUCCUUGUGGCAUGACUGAUGCCACUUCCCACCCAAGACGUUUCUGGAGGAAGGAUUUUUCCUCCCCUUUUUUACACAAUUUAAAAUUUGUUUUAUUGUUUCGGUGGUAAAACUCCAUUGGUGUUUGUUCCCUGGUGCAGUUAAUGUCCUCGUUCUCAAAGGAAGAACACCAAGGUCUUGGGUUGAAGUGGGGUGGUGUCUGCUUCCAUUGCAGUCAACAUUUAAUGAUUUGUAAUUAGUCCUAGUGGACCAGCAGAGGAGAGGAGAUGCUCAAACGCAGUGCUGAGCAAUUGCAAAUGUAAAUUAGUUUUUGGGAUUGUUGCAGGCAGGAUUUUAUUGGUAUGGGUUUUGGAACAUCCUAACAGGGCUUGUUACCGAGGAGCAUUUAUUGAACCUGUGAUUUCCAAGCUUUAUAAAUUUAUUAAGCUUUCAAUGCAAGACUUCAAGCUCUGGAUAAUUCUUACUGGAAGUUGCUCUCGGGGAACUUGAAAAUCUGUGAAUGAGCUCUACCACUGCUGCAUUGCAUCCCUCGUGUAGGGUAGCCCAGAGCAGUGGUGGGACAAGUAGGCAGCUUGCCCCGAGUCCCUUGGUUAGCGGGAUACAGACAGGCCCACCACAGUAUCGUAUUUCCUAAUGUGCAGUAGACUGCACAAAUUACAGCACUUCUUUUUUUUCCAGGUGCACAUGAUACAGAGAGCUCCUGUUGUUGUUUUGGGUUCUUUAUUUUUAGGUUCAGCAGAUUUUAUUGGGUUAUUUUCCUACCCCGUGAACACAGGCACCAGGUAGUCAAUAACAAUCGCUCCAUUAAAAGGGAAAAAUAAAAUCUUCAGUGUUAGCUGCACACACUAGAAAUAAAAUAAAAGAAUAGAAAAGGAGAAAGAUGAAGGGAAAACCAGAUGCCAAACACUGUUUUACAUGACAUGGCAUUUGGCGUCCUAUAGACUCAUGUCUUUGAAUGAAUGCAGGUAAAAGAUUAACAGAAAAGGUGCGUUGUAUUGCAUUCCCCUUCCAUUCUUUGAUAUUAUCUCCUCUGAAAAUGAAGAUGCUUAUUUAACAGCUGCAUUAUCUUAAAUAAACUUUUGGCUUCCAAUGUGAGAACAUUUUGGCCCCAACAAGGCUCUCCUGAGGUUACGAACAAAUCAAUAGUAGCCAGGAAUAGCUGGGCGGAGAGGCUCUCCGUGCUCCUUUUAGCUACCAGACCUCCUUCAGCUCCAAACCUCGUUAUGCCUGAACCCAUAGCCAAGUAAAUGCUGGCAUUUUAGUCGCAGCAAGGACGAGCUCUGAUUCCUCCUCUCCCAUCCCCUGGAAGUGCUCAGCCGGCAGGCAGCCCCUCUCCCAGGCCAGACCUCUUCUUCUGCUGCUACUUCCAGUGGCACCACGGAAAGCAAAAGCAAAACCCCAGCCCCGUGUCUUCUGCUCCUAAGCGUUCGGCUGCGAGCACCAGUCACAACUGGUUUGCGUUCCCUGCUUGCUUCUGCCGUUGAGGCUUUAUUUAGGCUUGAUAGUGAGUGAAACAGUCAGGUGUAAGAUUUUAGGUCUCCGCUCAGACGAAUUGCGCACGGUGCACGCCAAGCAGCCCGAGUGUUUACAACAGCCUGUGACAGAACGCGUUACUCGCUGCGACGUGAGGCACUGCCACAGAAAUAUGGCACGUUGCACAGGAAUUGCUUUUACAGCGAGCUGAAAGUCGUGUUAUUAGGGUUCGCUAUUGGAUUAACCCGCCACCAGGCAAUCCAGCCGGAUACCAGCGGCGAGGAUUUAUUACCGGCCGUGACUUGUAGUCACAUCGGAGCUCACGAUGAAAUCCCGGCGUGUGGGUGCGCGUGUCUAUGGGUGUGUGGGUGCGUGUGUACGUCUGUCUGUGUGUGUGCGUGUGUCUGUGUAUGUGUCAGUGCUGGGAGGGACAGGGAGAGCGGCCGAUCUGUAGGGGAGCUGGGUGCAAGCUCCUGUGGUGUGGCACUGUGGCUGCAGCCCUUUGCAGCAUCUCAUGUCCCGUGCUUGGGGUUAAAAACUCCUCCUGUGUUGCCCAAGCUGUGUCACUGAAAGGCAAUCAGGGGUGAAUGAGGGGGUGCAGUUUGUGUCUGGGUUAUAGAGAUGGUGCCUGGUGAGGUUAUGGAGUAACUGGGCAUCGUGGUCGGUCCCCAAGUCUUUGCCGUUGCGUUCAGCAGCCCUGUGAGUAUUCAGGUUGCGUCCUCUCCCCCGAUGCUGCCACCCAGUGUGCCAAUUUGUUUCAGAUCUGUCAGGGUGUGGAGGGGGAAGUAUGAACGUCUGUCCAGGAGGAAUUGGUCCGAUGCAUCACCCGUGCACUCUGCAGGCAGUCCGGUGACCUGCCAACAGAUGGCACUGACUUUCACUCGUGGUUUGAUGGCUGGGACCAAAUUCUUACCUGCGACCAAAAAGCUCAGUCCCUCACUGCUAGUGAGGAUCAGCUGUUCUUUACCUCUUUCAGCCAUGCAAAUACCAAAAAAA